GCUCCAAUGGCGAAACGGAAGACGCAGUGGACUCAAAAUCCACCGAUUUAUUCGUGUGAGUUCGAAUCUCACUUGGAGCA
rnacentral:tRNA from 1 species